ensembl:lncRNA
AGUCUCACAAAUGCCCUGCCUGGCUCUGGAGAAGAAAGCACAUCUCCCCCACCCCUCAUUCCCCUCCUGCCCCGCCUCUAGGGGCAGAGUCUUCCAUACACCCUGGUUUGAGGUUAGACUGACUCGUCUCCAGGCGCUGUGCCUGCCCGAGGCACGGAAACCGCUCCGCACACCUACCACUGUUCUUUUAUGAGAGGGGAUUGAUUUCCCUGCGAGGUUAUUUUUUCCAGAGGAUUGCAGAGAGGUAGGAGAGCCUACGGAGAAGGCAAUGGCACCCCACUCCAGUACUCUUGCCUGGAAAAUCCCAUGGAUGGAGGAGCCUGGUGGGCUGCAGUCCAUGGGGUCACUAGGAGUCGGGCACGACUGAGUGAUUUUACUUUCACUUUUCACUUUCAUGCAUUGGAAAAGGAAAUGGCAACCCACUCCAGUAUUCUUGCCCGGAGAAUCCCAGGGACAGAGGAGCCUAGUGGGCUGCUGUCUAUGGGGUUGCACAGAGUUGGACAUGACUGAAGCCACUUAGCAGCAGCAGCAGGAGAGCCUAUUUCUAAUAUUCUGGGAAUUGUUCAAAACAAAGAUAGUCUAUGCAUGUAUUAGUUAACUUUGGC